GUAACGCGUGGUUACGUGCCCUCGGGACCGGGAUAGUGUCGGGAAACUGGCAGUAAUACCGGAUAACAUCUUUGGAUCAAAUGGUGUGAUUCCGCCCGAGGAUCGGACCGCGUACUAUUAGCUUGUUGGCGGGGUAACGGCCCACCAAGGCUGCGAUGGUUACCGGGUGUGAGAGCAUGGCCCGGCUCACUGGGACUGAGACACUGCCCAGACAUCUACGGAUGGCUGCAGUCGAGAAUCUUCGGCAAUGGACGAAAGUCUGACCGAGCGACGCCGCGUGCGGGAUGAAGGCCCUCGGGUUGUAAACCGCUGUCAGUUAGGAGGAAAUGCAUGAGGGUUCUCUCUCAUGUUUGACCGAUUUUCAGAAGAAGCACCGGCUAACUCCGUGCCAGCAGCCGCGGUAAUACGAACCGUCCAAACGUUAUUCGGUAUCACUGGGCUUAAAGCGUGCGUAGGCGGCUUGGUAGGUGAGAUGU
rnacentral:rRNA from 1 species